GUUUCUGGAUGUUCGAUGUGAUAGAAGGUGGGAAUUUUUAUUGAGUUAGGGAAAACUUGAAAAGGACCAGGUUUGGAGUAGAAGAACAUCGGCGCAGCCAUUGAAACAUCCAAGUGGAGACAUCAAGGAGGCAGACACAUAUGCGCGUACACAUAGAGGACCUCCCAAGAGAGAUGGAAAUGCCAGUUUUAAGAUUCAGCUCUGCUUAAACAGCCCAACCCCACGGCUUCCUAAGCACAGGACACACAAAUGGGAUCCCACUGCAAACUCCACCUCUGACCAGCCUGCAUUGUAUCAUAGGAAAGGUCACAAUCCCUGGUCUCUUCAGGGAUCCACACUUACAAAGAGAAUCUCAAAGGGGCUGGGUUCGUGGCAAGGACUGAUGAGGACACUGGGCAACUCUCCUUCUCUGUACAUCUGGAAUUAGGACAAGCUGCCUGCUACUGGGACCAUGCUACUCUGAAGACCACCCACCCAUAAUACUUGCAGGGUCCAAAGCAAAAGCACGAAUGGAGGUCUAUAUACCAUGUGUCUACUUAUUAAAAAGUUAUAAAUCAACGUGGCAAAGAAGGAAAUAAAUAUAUUCUAAACAUUUUCUAUCAUCCAGCCUUGACAAAUACGCCUUCAUAACAACCCACUAGUCAAUUUUCACCUAGAAUUCAGACCCUUUG
rnacentral:lncRNA from 1 species